CACCCAGUCACGGACGAGGCUGCCGCCUCCGUUCAUCGUUGGGCUUGUCGUCGCCGCCACCAUACGCGGGAUUCGUCUUCAGCGCGACCCUGUCUCCUUUCCAGGCCGCCGGCCGCUCCCUCCAGAUCCGACGCUCGCCUUAUCCUUGUCCAGAUCCGCCUCUUUCGAGGUUACCGGCGACCCUCUCCGUAUUCAGCACUUAGGGGUAGCUCAAUUUUCUUGAAUUCAACAGUGAGUUCUUCCGGUAAUUAUUUGGAUUCGCUCUAGUGUUACGAGCAUCUUGCCGUUCAUGAUUAAUAUUACUCCGCUAAAUCCAAUUAACUCGCGUCAAUAUCGGGCGCGCGCCGUUUAGAUCGGAUCUGUCCCGCCAUGCCUAACAAUGGAAUGGAAUCCGUGGCGGAGGGGGACGAUUGUGAUGGUCUUCUCCGACUCUGCCUCAUCUCCGUGUGUCUCUCUCUCUCUUACCUUGAUAAGUAUAUCUAGCCGCAAGGCCGACCCGCCGUCUCCAUAACUUGUUCUGUAAACUGCUGCAAGGCCUCAACAAGUCGCUAGCUAUAGAUAGGACUUCAAGUUUGGCUGUUCCAGCAAGUAUUUGUGCAACAAAACAAACCUAGGCUGUCUGGCUGCAGCCUUGCAUCCAUCUGCUGCGGCAUCCAAUCAAAUCAUGGUUUUGCAGAGCCAAGAUGCCCAAGACAGAAUCAGUGCGCUCCCUAGCGACAUCCUUAUCCGAAUCCUUGAACUCCUUCCGAUGCGCAGUGCGAUUCGGACCGGAUCGCUCUCCAAACGGUGGAGACACCUCCCUCGCCAGCUCUCUUGUCUGCUCAUAGGUGUAUCGGACAUUCAGAGCGCUACCUACGUCACGCUAGGCCAGAUCAUGGGGGCGUACACAGAAACGACGAGGAGAUUGCUAUCGUCCACAUGCGAAUGCGGCAGCCGUUCCAUCAAGAGCCUGAGACUUACCUUUUACCUUUCAAAACAUUUCUUGUGCUCUAUUGGCCAUGCCGUCGGGGAUGUAGCCAGGAACGGCGACACUGAAUGCCUCGAGUUUGUGAUAUUCACGCAUCUUGCGAGACCAAGCAAUGCUCAACGUGUCUUGUUCAGACAGCGCUUCAUGUCUUUCUUCCACUCUUGCCCAGUCGCCUUCAGAUGGCUCACAAGACUAACUCUCCACAACCUUGCAUUUGGAGACUCGGAUGUCCCCAAUCUCCUCAAUGCUUGCGAUAAGCUUCAGUUCCUUAACUUGAGAUGCUGCAAAUUGGGUCCGAAAUCUGUCCUCAGCAUAGACGCCCCGUCAUCAGAGCUCCAGAAACUUGAAUUGUUUUGCUUUGAGUGUGUGCGGGUUGAUCUAGCAAGUCUUCCUAAGCUGAAGCAAGUGCUCUGUGAUACUUGGUGGGCUGUGACCACACCUAUGUCUUGUGGCUUUGUUCCCCAACUUGAGAAAGUAAGCCUCGCCUCUGCUGCCUGUCUGGGCAGAAGCCAUUCACAUUGAGCAAGUGUUUAUCUAGUAGUAGUACAAGAAGCCUCUCGUCCUUGUGUCUGGAUUUUUGCUCUCAGAUGAUCUGGAUUCAACCGGAAGAUCCUAAACAGCUCACACGUAUAUUCAGUAGCCUUAGAGAUGUUUAUAUCUAUAAUGUCUUUGCUGAGUGUGAUUUGAAUUGGACAUUCUUUAUCCUUAAAGCUGCACCUUCACUGAAGAACUUCUAUUUAUCUCGACACUCUUGUGAACCCAACAAGUUUGACGAUAUUGCCAAAAAGACCGACUUGGUGUGGGAAACCUCCAGUUUCAAGCAUUUGAACUUGAAGCUGCUGUUCAUGAAAGGGUUUUCGAAGGAUGAGAAGGUGAUGAACUAUAUAAGACUUGUCAUGAAAAGAUCUAUGGGCUUGAAGAGAAUCGAACUGCAUGAUAAAGACCCAUGUGAGGAGUGCAAAGCCAUAUCCCCCGAGUGUUUAAGGUUUCCUGUGCAUGAAUCUAGCAAGCGUCGGAUUAAGGAGCAACUCACAUAUGGAUUCUCCUUAGAUGUGGAGAUAAUAAUGGGAUGAUGCAUAUGAUCAAGCAGUGCGCAGAACCACGUCAGUUGCUUAGCACGCCCAUUAAUAAGGGAUAUAUAUAUAGAGAGAGAGAGAAUAGGUGCGAGCAUAUGUAGGCUUACUUUUUGACUUUUUCAGAGACAAGGUGAGUGCCCGUGUGUUGCAACAGGAGCCAAAAAAAUUCAUGUUUACAAUCAAGGUAUUGGGUUAAACUAACACUUGUUAUUGUAAUUUUUUACACACAUAUUUAGUAGGUCAAUGUGUAGAA